AUUGAACGCUGGCGGCAGGCCUAACACAUGCCAGUCGAGCGGAUGAAGGGAGCUUGCUCCUGGAUUCAGCGGCGGACGGGUGAGUAAUGCCUAGGAAUCUGCCUGGUAGUGGGGGAUAACGUCCGGAAACGGGCGCUAAUACCGCAUACGUCCUGAGGGAGAAAGUGGGGGAUCUUCGGACCUCACGCUAUCAGAUGAGCCUAGGUCGGAUUAGCUAGUUGGUGGGGUAAAGGCCUACCAAGGCGACGAUCCGUAACUGGUGUGAGAGGAUGAUCAGUCACACUGGAACUGAGACACGGUCCAGACUCCUACGGGAGGCAGCAGUGGGGAAUAUUGGACAAUGGGCGAAAGCCUGAUCCAGCCAUGCCGCGUGUGUGAAGAAGGUCUUCGGAUUGUAAAGCACUUUAAGUUGGGAGGAAGGGCAGUAAGUUAAUACCUUGCUGUUUUGACGUUACCAACAGAAUAAGCACCGGCUAACUUCGUG
rnacentral:rRNA from 1 species